rfam:Chelonia mydas contig193559, whole genome shotgun sequence.
ACUAAGGUUUUUAAAAACCACCAACUUAUUGAAAAAGACUUUUG